UAGGGAAUCUUCCACAAUGGACGGAAAGUCCUGAUGGAGCAACGCCGCGUGAGUGAAGAAGGUUUUCGGAUCGUAAAGCUCUGUUGUUGGUGAAGAAGGAUAGAGGCAGUAAACUGGUCUUUAUUUGACGGUAAUCAACCAGAAAGUCACGGCUAACUACGUGCCAG
rnacentral:rRNA from 1 species